rnacentral:rRNA from 1 species
UACGUAGGGGGCUAGCGUUGUCCGGAAUCAUUGGGCGUAAAGAGCGUGUAGGCGGCUCGGUAAGUCCGCUGUGAAAGUCCAGGGCUCAACCCUGGAAUGCCAGUGGAAACUGUCGAGCUAGAGUCCGGAAGAGGCGAGUGGAAUUCCUGGUGUAGCGGUGAAAUGCGCAGAUAUCAGGAGGAACACCGGUGGCGAAGGCGGGUCUCUGGGCCGAUACUGACGCUGAGGAGCGAAAGCGUGGGUAGCAAACAGG